CAUGCCCUAAACUAUGAGUGCUGGAUAUUGGGAGUAUCGACCCUCCCAGUGUCGUCAAAAAAGCUAACGCGAUAAGCACUCCGCCUGGGAAGUACGGCCGCAAGGCUAAAACUCAAAGGAAUAGACGGGGACCCGCACAAGCGGUGGAACAUGUGGUUUAAUUCGACGGUAAGCGAGGAACCUCACCAAGGCUUGACAUGCAACUGCUAACCCUAUGAAAGUAGGGCUCCUUCGAGGGUGUUGCACAGGUGCUGCAUGGUUGUCGUCAGCUCGUGCCGUGAGGUGUACCCUUAAGUGGGGUAACGAGCGCAACCCUCGUGUCGUGUUGUUUUUCACGACAGACUGCCUGGGAUAACCAG
rnacentral:rRNA from 1 species